UGUGUUUCAUCUAAAGCAAAACAAUAUAACCUGUCUAUCCUGGUCCUUCACUCACCUAAGAAAGCCCAGUUGUCAGACUGAGCAAGCCUUACAGUUGAUCAAAAACAUACUGUUGGCAUAAAUGAAACCACCACAUGUCAAACUUGGACCCGGCUGUAAACGUGCAAGUGCCAGUUGAAGUAGAGGUUUUUGAUGCCGAUGCAGGAGGAGUAUGUGCAGGGCAGCAGCACCGUGGAGCCGUUCAUCGCUUCAAGUUGAGACACUUUACCUGUCGACACCUCCAGCCCACCAACACUCCACACACCUGAACCGAGAGAGGAGGGAAAAGCUGCUGUAAUCCUCAGAUUGUUGCUCCGGUGUCUCUCACACACUUGGGGCCUAUUUAUAAACGCUCUUCCACUUACCGAGCUGCUCAGGAUCACGUUGCACUUGGACAUGGUGCAAAUAGUGUUAAAGUACAUGUAGGCCUGUGUGUUUUCAGGGACUUACAUCUAUGAUAGAAAUUCCCAACACAUUUUUUGAAAAUCUGUAAAAAAAAAACAGGACUCUAUAGCAUCUAAGUUUGAGGUUGAGAUGAAUUGUCAUUUGAUAUUGCAAUGGAAUUUCAAGUAAGUGUUUACAAUAAAUGUGUCAAUGGAAAUAAAA